AUUUUAUAAAAUAGUCUGUGUGUGAAACCAGAAGUCAGACAGACCAGUUAAAUUCACUUUCUUCACAGAGACUCACACGUUCACCAGAGGAGCUCAUUCACACUCACUGCAGUUUCACUUCAAGUCUUUUCUACAGACCAGCGUCUCAAAAAACAGCCAGAACCCGAUUAAUGAAACAUUUCUGUCGUAGUCAUUGUACAAUUGUGAUGUUUUAUGAGCUGUUUAUCUGAAACUGUGAAGAAAAUGUUGGACGUGACUUUCUGUUUGUGCUUUUGGAGUCUGUUUGGUGUGUUUGGUGUUGAGACAGAUGUUUCAGUGUCAGUGAUGGAGGGAGAUUCUGUCACUCUAAAGAAUAAUGAUACUCAAAUACUGAGAGAUGAGGGGAUCCAGUGGAGGUUUGGAGAAUUCCUCAUUGCUGAAAUCAACAGAGAUGAUAAUAAGAUCAAGUUAUUUGAGGAUGUUUCUGAUGGGAGAUUCAGAGGCAGAAUACAGCUGGAUCAUCAGACUGGAUCUCUCAUCAUCACAAACACCAGAUCUACAGACUCUGGACAAUAUAAAUUAAAAACCGAAAGCAAAGUGACCGUACUGAAAAUAUUCACUCUUACUGUCUAUGCUCGUCUGCCGGUUCCUGUGAUCAUCAGAGACUCUUCUCUAUAUUCUUCAAGCUCUAAAUGUGUGUUGGUGUGUUCAGUGGUGAAUGUGACACAGGCGACUCUCUCCUGGUACAAAGGAAACAGUUUACUGAACAACAUUAAUGCCUCUAAUAUCACCACCGAUCUCUCUCUACAUCUGGAGGUGGAAUAUCAGGAGAACAACACCUACAGCUGUGUGAUCAACAAUCCCAUCAGAAAUCAGACUAAACAUCUCAACAUUACUGAAGUCUGUCAGACAUGUCCAGAUAAUACAGAUAAAGAUGUACGUCUGAUAAAGCUGAUUUCUGCUGCUGCUGGAACUCUGUUGUUUGUGUUGAUCAUUGCAGUCGUGAUCUUCUGCAUCUGCAGGAAAUGUAGAAAAACAGAUCAAGAGGUCCAGACUCGUGAAGAAGAGAUAACUUACGCUGAUCCAGCGUUCUAUAAAAGAAAAACAACGAAAUCAAAAGUGAAAGAGGAGGAUGAUGUGGUGUACGCAGGUGUCGCCGUGAGACGUUGAUCAAACUCUCUGAGACACACUGAAGAAGAUCCAUGAGGUUUAUGUAUUCACUUUGUAAGGCUGACAUCAAGAGGUCGUAAAAGUCAAAGAACUCUGUGAGAACCAACGUCAUAAAACUCUCACACUGAUGAACAUCUCCACCCAAGAUAACACUCCUUACUUGCUAAGGACCAUACAACGCAAAUCCCAUUUUGACCUCUAUCUCACCUAAGGGCAAUUUAGAAUGACAUCCUUUUCUGUAAUAUAAGAGGUUUUCUGUUUCAUUCAAGAGGUCGCAGUGCGACUGGUAAGGUGGUCUCCCAGCAAGCAAUAGCCUUCAUUUCAACGUCUCGGUUAAAUCUAGACCCGAUAUAGUCCGACUAUGUGUAACCCACUUCUAGCCUAAAUUAAAUUGAAUCUGGUUAAAUGUAAUUUUUUCAAAAAUAACUUGCGAGAUGUAAGAUAUUCCAUCAUGUUAGCAAAGUCAACUGUAAUUAAAAAGUGUUUGGUUACAUUUAUUUGCUAUGUUUAUGUGUAGGCUGUGCGUAGACACGAUUUAGCUCGUAAAAUGGGCUAUUUCACCGCAAGCAUUAGCCGUAAUUUCACCUUCUCGGUUUUGCCCGAUAUAUACCCACUUGCCAAAAUAACCUUGAAUUUGGAUACAUGUCGUUUUGGUAAAAAUAAAGAUGUAUGAGAUGUAUUCCAUCAUUUAAGCAAAGUCAACAGUGAUUACAAGGUGUUUAGUUUCAUUUCUUUCACGUUCUAUAGGCUCACGAUUUAGCUCCUAUUCAGACCGACUUUAUAGCCCACUUUGAGUCAAAAGUAAAGAAUGAUUCAUUUUAGUUUUAGGCCAGGUAGAUUUGUUAUCCCAUCAUGUUCACAAUGCCAAUCUCUACAAGAUGCCAUUUCAUGGUCUUUUUUUUUUUAAGCAACAGCUCUGAAUUGGACGGGCAAUAUGUGUAGACUGCUUUUAGCCCUCAAUUUUAUAAACAUUUGAAAUAGCAUUAUCUUUGCUGUAACAUUCAUAGUCAUACACAUUCUACGAUAGUAUAGGACUGUCUUUCAUUUUAAGUUAAAUACAACUUCUAUUUCAAUUAUCAACCGCUAGAUGGCACAAGCGAAGCCCUACUGAGACAUGACGUGCGACGAGAUCACUGUUGCCAGAUCUCGCGAUUAACAAUUCCGCCAUUUUCAAUUAUAUUUUUCACGAGAAAGCACCUGUUGGAGAGGAGAGCAACGGGCGAGCGACACAUUUAUAAAACCAUAACAUUUCUACUUUGAUUUUUUACCAGAACUGAGCGCCAAUCAGCCAGGACACCCAGGACUCCUCAAGACAGAAAUUCCCAAGUUACCAGGACUGAGCGCCAAUCAGCCAGGACACCCAGGACUCCCCAAGAAAAGCAAGACAAGUUCCCAAUGACAGACAAAAGAUUCCAAAGAAAAGUGUUGACACAGCUUAUAGAAAUAAAAGAAGAACUGAGAAGAAUUGGUAAAAAUGUGGAACCAGACACUGUGUUCCACCUGUCUACCUUGGCUACUGAGGAGGAUUUCAAAUACCUAGAAAGGCAGUUGGAAAGUGAGAAUACCCGGGCAGCAAUGGUGGCAAAGUUGUGCAAAAUAGGAGGAAAAAACCUCAAAGACAGUGCCAGAAGAAUGCUGGACAGGUAAAGCCUACCAAAUGUGCAACAUUAAUCAAAUAUUCUGGUGUCAAUACUGAUCAAGUCUUUCAUGUGGUCACAACGUAAAUAAGAGAUUUAACACAUCCUUUAACGUUAAUUUUGAAAUGUAAGUGCAAAUGUCAGACUGACAUUUUGAAAUGUCAGUCUUUAACCACAAUUGUUAACCACCUUAAUUUGUAUUAUAUUUUAGUGUUUUCAAAAAUUCCCUCAUGUCAAAGUUCAAUAUGAAGGGUGGUGGUCCACUGCAGAAGGUGGCUUUUGAAAACACUGCAUUGUUCUCAGUCAUUAGAGGUUUGUGUGUCAGCGUCUGCUCACGAGCGUACACAUUGACCAGAGAGCUUAUCUCAGUUUUUGAGCUAAAUAAUAUAUAUAUAUAUAUUAGUGCAUCACCAUUAUGCAGGCAAAAUCUGUCAGCUAUUAAUAAUAUUUAUAUCAAUUAUUGUCUAUUGAUAUUAAUUAUAUAGUCUCAAUCUAUAUUCCUUUGGAAACGAUAUGCAUGUAUCUUAACUCUAUAUUGCCCAUCUCUAGUUUGCAUCCAAGCAAAAUAUAAUGAAUGUCAAAAUUACUGUAAUUAUUUAAAAAUUAUGUCAACAAUGCUUUUCUUGUGCAAUUAUCUCUUUCUCGUUUGGCAGAUGCUGUGAUGACCAACUUUCCAGCAACAACUGAAUUUGAAAUAAGAAAUGCAAUUUCUGGGCAUUUUAAACAAGCACCA